UGCCAGCAGCCGCGGUAAUUCCAGCUCCAAUAGUGUAUAUUAAAGUUGCUGUGAUUAAAACGCUCGUAGUUGAAUUAAAAUGUGAUUUUAUACAUUUUGAAGACUUUACAUUAAGUGAAGUUUCUAGAAAUGUUAAAUUAAAAUCAAAGAAGGAGACAAUUCAAGUAAUUGAGUUGUCAUUACUUUGAAUAAAAUAAGGUGUUUAAAGCAAAACAUUAUGUUAAUGAAUAUUCAAGCAUGGGACAAUGCUGAGGAGAUGUCAAUUAGACAUUUCGAGAGAAGGAUUAAAAGGAACAAUUGGGGUGAUUCAGAAAAUAACGGGAGAGGUGAAAAUCCAUGAUCGCUAUAAGAUGCACGAGAGCGAAAGCAUUUCACUCAACUGGGUCCAUUAAUCAAGAACGAAAGUUAGGGGAUCGAAGACGAUCAGAUACCGUCGUAGUCCUAACUAUAAACGAUGUCAACCAAGGAUUGGAUGAAAUUCAGAUGUACAAAGAUGAAGAAACAUUGUUUCUAAAUCCAAGUAUAUCAAUACUACCUUGUUCAGAACUUAAAGAGAAAUCUUGAGUUUAUGGACUUCAGGGGGAGUAUGGUCACAAGGCUGAAACUUAAAGGAAUUGACGGAAGGGCACACCAGGAGUGGAGCCUGCGGCUUAAUUUGACUCAACACGGGAAAACUUACCAAGACCGAACAGUAGAAGGAAUGACAGAUUAAGAGUUCUUUCAUGAUUUAUUGGGUAGUGGUGCAUGGCCGUUCUUAGUUGGUGGAGUGAUUUGUCAGGUUAAUUCCGGUAACGAACGAGACUGAAACCUAUUAAUUAGUUUUCUGCCUAUAAGACAGAAAUGUUCGCAAGAACAGGUGCGUAAGUACCACUUCUUAAAGGGACACAUUUCAAUUGUCCUAUUUUAAUUGUUAGUUAUCUAAUUUCGAUUAGAACUCUUUUAACGUGGGAAAAAGAAAAAGGAAGCAUUCAGCAAUAACAGGUCUGUGAUGCCCUUAGACAUCUUGGGCCGCACGCGCGCUACAAUGGAGUUACUAGAGAGCAUUUUAUCAUUUACACCUUAUUUAUUAGGCUAUGUCUAAUAGGUAGGGAUAGUAAGUGGUGUACCGAGAUUGAAAUAGUUAAGGAAAACUCAAAAGAACGUACAUGACAGGGAUAAAUGAUUGGAAUUAUUUGUUUUGAACGAGGAAUUCCUUGUAAUAUCGAGUCAUUAACUCGAGAUGAAUACGUCCCUGCCCUUUGUACACACCGCCCGUCGCUCCUACCGAUUGAAUAAAGAGGUGAAAUUCUAGGAUUCUGUCUUAUAGAUAGAAAAAUGGAUUUAAAUCUCCUUAUUUAGAGGAAGGAGAAGUCGUAACAAGGUUUCCGUAGGUGAACCUGCGGAAG
rnacentral:rRNA from 1 species